rnacentral:rRNA from 1 species
CAGCAGCCGCGGUAAUUCCAGCUCCAAUAGCGUAUAUUAAAGUUGUUGCAGUUAAAAAGCUCGUAGUUGAAUUUCGGGAUCAAUAAGUUGGUCGUGCCUUUGGUACGUACGGGUGUAAUUGGUUCCUCCCUUCUGAAGAACCUUAAUGCCAUUAAUUUGGUGUCUGGGGAAAUCAGGACUGUUACUUUGAAAAA